GUCACAGUAAGAGUAGCUACCACUUGAAUGGUUUUUAUGCGCUAGGUACUUUAAGUGCCUAAGAGCGUUAUUUAAUGUAAUUCUCACAAUUCUGUGAGUUAGGAACUGUUAGUUUUCCCAUUUUUACAAGUGAGAAACUGAGGCUUGAAGAGGUUGAGUAAUUUGCUCAAAGACACGCUGGCGGAAGUGGGAGAGCUGGAACCUCAACUAGGGAUCGAGCUUUGUAACCUUCACACUCAGCCUCUCUGAGCCUCACUGGCUCCAGUGUGGGACCUCCCAUCAAGGUGGACCCACAUCUAGACUGCGUAUGCAGGCUACCGAAAUACAAGAAUCAACGUGUUUAGAAAGGCAGAUCCUAGACAGGUCUUUAAAAGGAGGAACAUAAGGUGACACAGGAACGGCCAGUCUUGAACCUAACAAAUGUAUCGUGGGCUCCCCUCCAGAGACUCUGCUUCAGGAGAGGCGGGGUGGGGUCCGGGAAUGUUCAGGAGUAACAAGCAUCCCGGUCUCCCCGACGCGGUGGUUUAAGCACCCCGCGUUGAGAUGCGCCACCAGGGAGGUUGCUGUGCCCCGGCAUGGGGACGCUUCAGGAGGAAAGAGGGAGCGGACUCGGCCUGAAUCUCCUGACACCCGUGAAACGCGGGUAAGGAUCGAAGGCAUAAAGGGAACUUGGUAAAUACGAAGGUGUGACGACCCGCUGAAUUAAAAGUCCAGAGAUGCAUCAUCAUCGCGCCUAGUUCCACGGGAACUUGCUGUAGCAGCCGAGAGAGCGAAGCGCCGCGGCGGGACUGCACACGGCAGCAGCGGCGGGGACGCGGCCGUCGCGCUUGCGCAGACUCAGCCGCGUGUCACCGUCUCGGGGCUGUGUCGGUGCUGCCCCGCCCGGGCUGGCAGCCGCGCCUCUGCGGCCGUCGCCAAGCGGGGCCUUUUAGGAGCGAGGCGAGGCCUGGGCCCCUUCUAGUUUUCUGAGGCUUAAAUACGCCAAAAGUGGAGAAAGUCAACCCAGGGUUACCGGAAUAGUGGUGUAUAGAAAAUGUCUGCGUUUAAAAAGUUAAUGCUUUUAACACAAAAGAAUUCAAGGGUGUAUAUGGUCUCAAAGUCUUUAGAGGAAAAGAGAAAGAAAAGGAAGGAAGAAAAGAAAGCAAAAUGUUUCGUGAUGUCCUUACAAAUCAUCUAUUACUUGUGUGUUGCUAAUUUUGUGCAAAACUGAAAAAAGGAGGUUAAGAGAGGAAAAAACCAGGUUGGAGGUCAGACGGAAACUUUGAAACCAGCAGCUCAGCCCCAGCCGGAUUUGAAAUGGCCAGGAAGGUAAAAAGAGGCAAGAGACGGUGGGUUGACAAUGCCCACGGGGUUCCAAAGAGCCUCCAAUUUUCUUUCCUUUUGCAUCUAUUUUCACAGAUGAGGGUGAGGGCCAUCAAUGCACUGGCUGCUGCAAUUUCAGCUUUUAGAAUGUUUUGAACAAUAUGCCUCAGAUCACGCCAAUAAUCGGAGGACCCUUCAUUGUUGAGUGUUAUGCCUCUAACGAUGUGUGUGGUGGAGAGGGGCUGUCGGCUUCACCUUACCAGGCUGGGUUCUGUGUGGUUGGCACUGAAACAAGCAUUGUUCGCCUCAAUUUCUCUUCUUUUUCCCAGUAGCCUAUUAAACCUCUUUGUUAAGAGACCCAGCUGCUUGUUUUCUAUCAAGAUAAUGACUGAAAAAUGCGCUUUAAAAAAAUCAUGGGGAACAUGAUUUCUGGAAGGUCUGCGUCCUCUUUCCUUUUGCUGUCAUCUGGCUGAUGAUGACUUUCAAUAAUCCUGGGAUAAUAAAAAUUCAUUUGAGCUUGUAGACCAAAUAUGGAGCUUAAAUUACCACAGAAACCAGGGACCACUGCCCUUCUUCUCACCUUAACAGAGAUUCUUCUUUCCUUCCCUGAUAUUCUUUUUUUAAAAAUCGAGGUAUAAUUUACAUACAAUAGUAUGUGCAGAUUUUAAGUAUACGGUUUGCUGAGUUUUGACAAAUGUUUAGUCCCAUGUAAGUAGCAUCCCAACUAAGAUAUAGACUAUUUCCAUUACCCCAGAAAGUUUCUCCAUUCCCUGUCCCUGUCUACCCCCUCUCCAGGAAGGAACCACUGUGUGGAUUGUCACCACCAUAGAUUAGUUUUGCCUGCUUUUGUACUUUUCAUAAAUAGAGUCACGCAGUAUGUACUCUUUUAGGUCUGG
ensembl:lncRNA